rnacentral:rRNA from 1 species
GGGUUGUGAGGUUAAGCGACUAAGCGUACACGGUGGAUGCCCUGGCAGUCAGAGGCGAUGAAGGACGUGCUAAUCUGCGAUAAGCGUCGGUGAGGUGAUAUGAACCGUUAUAACCGGCGAUUUCCGAAUGGGGAAACCCAGUGUGUUUCGACACACUAUCAUUAACUGAAUCCAUAGGUUAAUGAGGCGAACCGGGGGAACUGAAACAUCUAAGUACCCCGAGGAAAAGAAAUCAACCGAGAUUCCCCCAGUAGCGGCGAGCGAACGGGGAGGAGCCCAGAGCCUGAAUCAGUGUGUGUGUUAGUGGAAGCGUCUGGAAAGGCGCGCGAUACAGGGUGACAGCCCCGUACACAAAAAUACACAUAUUGUGAGCUCGAUGAGUAGGGCGGGACACGUGGUAUCCUGUCUGAAUAUGGGGGGACCAUCCUCCAAGGCUAAAUACUCCUGACUGACCGAUAGUGAACCAGUACCGUGAGGGAAAGGCGAAAAGAACCCCGGCGAGGGGAGUGAAAAAGAACCUGAAACCGUGUACGUACAAGCAGUGGGAGCCUCUUUAUGGGGUGACUGCGUACCUUUUGUAUAAUGGGUCAGCGACUUAUAUUCUGUAGCAAGGUUAACCGAAUAGGGGAGCCGAAGGGAAACCGAGUCUUAACUGGGCGUUAAGUUGCAGGGUAUAGACCCGAAACCCGGUGAUCUAGCCAUGGGCAGGUUGAAGGUUGGGUAACACUAACUGGAGGACCGAACCGACUAAUGUUGAAAAAUUAGCGGAUGACUUGUGGCUGGGGGUGAAAGGCCAAUCAAACCGGGAGAUAGCUGGUUCUCCCCGAAAGCUAUUUAGGUAGCGCCUCGUGAAUUCAUCUCCGGGGGUAGAGCACUGUUUCGGCAAGGGGGUCAUCCCGACUUACCAACCCGAUGCAAACUGCGAAUACCGGAGAAUGUUAUCACGGGAGACACACGGCGGGUGCUAACGUCCGUCGUGAAGAGGGAAACAACCCAGACCGCCAGCUAAGGUCCCAAAGUCAUGGUUAAGUGGGAAACGAUGUGGGAAGGCCCAGACAGCCAGGAUGUUGGCUUAGAAGCAGCCAUCAUUUAAAGAAAGCGUAAUAGCUCACUGGUCGAGUCGGCCUGCGCGGAAGAUGUAACGGGGCUAAACCAUGCACCGAAGCUGCGGCAGCGACACUAUGUGUUGUUGGGUAGGGGAGCGUUCUGUAAGCCUGUGAAGGUGGCCUGUGAGGGUUGCUGGAGGUAUCAGAAGUGCGAAUGCUGACAUAAGUAACGAUAAAGCGGGUGAAAAGCCCGCUCGCCGGAAGACCAAGGGUUCCUGUCCAACGUUAAUCGGGGCAGGGUGAGUCGACCCCUAAGGCGAGGCCGAAAGGCGUAGUCGAUGGGAAACAGGUUAAUAUUCCUGUACUUGGUGUUACUGCGAAGGGGGGACGGAGAAGGCUAUGUUGGCCGGGCGACGGUUGUCCCGGUUUAAGCGUGUAGGCUGGUUUUCCAGGCAAAUCCGGAAAACCAAGGCUGAGGCGUGAUGACGAGGCACUACGGUGCUGAAGCGACAAAUGCCCUGCUUCCAGGAAAAGCCUCUAAGCAUCAGGUAACAUCAAAUCGUACCCCAAACCGACACAGGUGGUCAGGUAGAGAAUACCAAGGCGCUUGAGAGAACUCGGGUGAAGGAACUAGGCAAAAUGGUGCCGUAACUUCGGGAGAAGGCACGCUGAUAUGUAGGUGAAGCGACUUGCUCGUGGAGCUGAAAUCAGUCGAAGAUACCAGCUGGCUGCAACUGUUUAUUAAAAACACAGCACUGUGCAAACACGAAAGUGGACGUAUACGGUGUGACGCCUGCCCGGUGCCGGAAGGUUAAUUGAUGGGGUUAGCGGUAACGCGAAGCUCUUGAUCGAAGCCCCGGUAAACGGCGGCCGUAACUAUAACGGUCCUAAGGUAGCGAAAUUCCUUGUCGGGUAAGUUCCGACCUGCACGAAUGGCGUAAUGAUGGCCAGGCUGUCUCCACCCGAGACUCAGUGAAAUUGAACUCGCUGUGAAGAUGCAGUGUACCCGCGGCAAGACGGAAAGACCCCGUGAACCUUUACUAUAGCUUGACACUGAACAUUGAGCCUUGAUGUGUAGGAUAGGUGGGAGGCUUUGAAGUGUGGACGCCAGUCUGCAUGGAGCCGACCUUGAAAUACCACCCUUUAAUGUUUGAUGUUCUAACGUUGGCCCGUAAUCCGGGUUGCGGACAGUGUCUGGUGGGUAGUUUGACUGGGGCGGUCUCCUCCUAAAGAGUAACGGAGGAGCACGAAGGUUGGCUAAUCCUGGUCGGACAUCAGGAGGUUAGUGCAAUGGCAUAAGCCAGCUUGACUGCGAGCGUGACGGCGCGAGCAGGUGCGAAAGCAGGUCAUAGUGAUCCGGUGGUUCUGAAUGGAAGGGCCAUCGCUCAACGGAUAAAAGGUACUCCGGGGAUAACAGGCUGAUACCGCCCAAGAGUUCAUAUCGACGGCGGUGUUUGGCACCUCGAUGUCGGCUCAUCACAUCCUGGGGCUGAAGUAGGUCCCAAGGGUAUGGCUGUUCGCCAUUUAAAGUGGUACGCGAGCUGGGUUUAGAACGUCGUGAGACAGUUCGGUCCCUAUCUGCCGUGGGCGCUGGAGAACUGAGGGGGGCUGCUCCUAGUACGAGAGGACCGGAGUGGACGCAUCACUGGUGUUCGGGUUGUCAUGCCAAUGGCACUGCCCGGUAGCUAAAUGCGGAAGAGAUAAGUGCUGAAAGCAUCUAAGCACGAAACUUGCCCCGAGAUGAGUUCUCCCUGACUCCUUGAGAGUCCUGAAGGAACGUUGAAGACGACGACGUUGAUAGGCCGGGUGUGUAAGCGCAGCGAUGCGUUGAGCUAACCGGUACUAAUGAACCGUGAGGCUUAACCUUACAACGCCGAAG